GAUGAACGCUGGCGGCAUGCCUAACACAUGCAAGUCGGGCGGGAAGAGGUGUUUCCAGCGCCGGACGGGUGAGCAACGCGCAAGAACCUGCCCUGGGGAUGGGAACAACAUCUGGAAACGGUUGCUAAGAGCCCGUAGGGCUAGGAGCAAAAAGAGUAAUCCGCCCGAGGGGGGGCUCGGGUCUGAUGAGCUAGUUGGUAGUGCAAUAGCUUACCAAGGCGAUGAGCAGAAGCGGGUGCGAGAGGAUGAUCAGCCACACUGGGACUGAGACCCGCCCUAGACUCCUUCGGGAGGCAGGCGUGGGGAUUUUUCCGCAAUGCGCGACAGCCUGACGGAGCCAUGCCGCCUGGAGGUAGAAUGCCUACGGGUGCUGAACUUCUUAACCCACAGAAGACGCCUUGACGGUACCUGGGGAAUAAGCAUCGGCUAACUCUGUG
rnacentral:rRNA from 1 species